GGGAGGAAUUGGGAAACACUUCUUACAUAUUAAUUCAUGAGAUAAAUUAUAAUCUAGCUUGAAAUUCUGACAAUAAUCACAACCAGGACCAUGCGUCCUAUAUCUUUUAACCAUUUCCCUAUUCCAAAGGUCCAGUCAAAACCAGUCAUAUCCUCACGCAGUUCCUCAAAACAUGGGAAUCCAUCCCUGGCACACUCAACAUAUAUCAAAAACACA
rnacentral:lncRNA from 1 species